rnacentral:rRNA from 1 species
AGAGUUUGAUCAUGGCUCAGAUUGAACGCUGGCGGUAGGCUUAACACAUGCAAGUCGUGCGAGAAAGUAUCUUCGGAUAUGAGUAGAGCGGCGGACGGGUGAGUAACGCGUAGGAAUCUACCUAGUAGAAGGGGAUAGCCCGGGGAAACCCGGAUUAAUACCGUAUACCUCCUUCGGGAGAAAGAAGGCCUCUCUUUGAAGCUUUCGCUAUUAGAUGAGCCUGCGUAAGAUUAGCUUGUUGGUGAGGUAAAGGCUCACCAAGGCGACGAUCUUUAGCUGGUCUGAGAGGACGAUCAGCCACAUUGGGACUGAGACACGGCCCAGACUCCUACGGGAGGCAGCAGUGGGGAAUAUUGGACAAUGGGCGCAAGCCUGAUCCAGCCAUACCGCGUGUGUGAAGAAGGCCUUCGGGUUGUAAAGCACUUUAAGCAGGGAGAAAAAGUUAUAAGUUAAUACCUUAUAACCCUGAUGUUACCUGCAGAAUAAGCACCGGCUAAUUCCGUGCCAGCAGCCGCGGUAAUACGGAAGGUGCAAGCGUUAAUCGGAAUUACUGGGCGUAAAGCGCGCGUAGGUGGUUUGUUAAGUUGGAUGUGAAAGCCCUGGGCUCAACCUAGGAACUGCAUCCAAAACUAACUCACUAGAGUACGAUAGAGGGAGGUAGAAUUCAUAGUGUAGCGGUGGAAUGCGUAGAUAUUAUGAAGAAUACCAGUGGCGAAGGCGGCCUCCUGGAUCUGUACUGACACUGAGGUGCGAAAGCGUGGGUAGCGAACAGGAUUAGAUACCCUGGUAGUCCACGCCGUAAACGAUGACAACUAGCUGUUGGGAGACUAUGUCUUUCAGUGGCGCAGCUAACGCUUUAAGUUGUCCGCCUGGGGAGUACGGCCGCAAGGCUAAAACUCAAAUGAAUUGACGGGGACCCGCACAAGCGGUGGAGCAUGUGGUUUAAUUCGAUGCAACGCGAAAAACCUUACCUACUCUUGACAUACUUGGAGGCUCUUGUAAUGAGAGUGUGCCUUUUGGAACCAAGAUACAGGUGCUGCAUGGCUGUCGUCAGCUCGUGUCGUGAGAUGUUCCGUUAAGUCGGAUAACGAGCGCAACCCUUACCCUUAUUUGCCAGCGAUUCGGUCGGGAACUAUAAGGGGACUGCCGGUGAUAAACCGGAGGAAGGUGAGGACGACGUCAAGUCAUCAUGGCCCUUACGAGUAGGGCUACACACGUGCUACAAUGGGAGAUACAGACGGACGCUAAGCCGCGAGGUGGUGCUAAUCCUAAAAAGUCUUUCGUAGUCCGGAUUGGAGUCUGCAACUCGACUCCAUGAAGUCGGAAUCGCUAGUAAUCGCGGAUCAGCAUGCCGCGGUGAAUACGUUCUCGGGUCUUGUACACACCGCCCGUCACACCAUGGAAGUGGAUUGCACCAGAAGUAGAUAGUCUAACCUUAGGGAGGGCGUUUACCACGGUGUGCUUCAUGACUGGGGUGAAGUCGUAACAAGGUAGCCGUAGGGGAACCUGUGGCUGGAUCACCUCCUU